rnacentral:lncRNA from 1 species
AGAGUUUAAAAUAGUUGAAAGUCAGUUUUAAGAAAAACAGUAGGAAGAUUUAAGAGCUAGCUUGAGAGAAUAAUGAUUGAAAAAAUUGAAAGAAUUCCUUUGAAAUCAUUUAAAAACUGACUAGUUUUAAACAGCGCAUCACACAAACAGGGACAACGGGGAUGGGAUCAAAUAAGUAGAGUGAACUACACAAACAACAUAUUGAAGCAGAGUAAUCAAGCAUAGUUGCAGACAAGGGUUCAAUUCUUACUGCACUAAACCUCAAUACAAUUAACCUCAUGAAGAGGUUUUUAGGCUAAUCAAGUAGCCAAGCAGACGUGGAUACAUUGUAUUGACACACAAGGAAAAGUAAACAGAUAUUGAGACAAGGAAUGGGGUAAGGGGGAACAUGAUAAGCUAAACUGGUAAGGGCAUGCUAGUGGCAAUAAGAACAGCAGAACCAUCGAUAAAAGCACACAAGGAACAAGAUGAAGUGCAAGAGUAACAAAAACAUAUUGUUUUGGAGACUAUAUAUUAGAUGAAUAACAUACCAGUUCCACGCAAAAAGAACACAAAGAGAAAAAAUGCACAAGAUGAGCAGAGUGAGCAGAGAAUGAGGGCAGCAAUGUGAGAACAGCAGUGCAGAGAAGUAAACAGCAGGCAAAAACCCAAGUAACCAAUGCAGUAGAACCCUAGUAGUGUAGAAAUAAACAGCCAAGAUUACUCAAUCUUGGCUUUCAGAAGAUUGAUUGAGAGACUUUGUAGAAGAAACAAUAGAGAAAUAGCGAGCAUUGAGUGUUAUUGAAAGGGAGUUCAUAGAGAUUGUAAUGCAUGUUUGUGUGUUAUGCAAAGAGGAUGGGGGUACUUAAAUAAACUAAAAACGAGUAAACAAACAAGGAAGAAAUCUAUAAUUCAGGAACAAGGUAUAAAUCAUAAUCAAAUCAGCAUAACCCUUCAAUUAAGGAAUCAAAGUUAUACAGUAACAAACAGUAGUUUUAGAAAGAAAGGAAUCAAUCAGACUACUGCAUCUACCAUAGUAGGAGUAGUAAAGCAUGUAUCAUGUAAUAAGGGCUAAAUACAUAGUAUUUCAACUAAGGAAAAU